UAGGAGGCACUUAGGCCGUAUGUCCA
rnacentral:piRNA from 1 species